UACGGGGGGGCCUAGCGUUGUUCGGAAUCACUGGGCUUAAAGCGUUUGUAGGUGGCUUUGUAAGUUGAAUGUGAAAGCCCAGGGCCUAACCCUGGAAGUGCAUUCAAUACUGCAAAGCUUGAGUAUAGUUGAGGUAGGCGGAAUUGACAGUGUAGCGGUGAAAUGCAUAGAUAUUGUCAAGAACACCGAUUGCGUAGGCAGCUUACUAAGCUAUAACUGACGCUGAGGCACGAAAGUGUGGGGAUCAAACAGG
rnacentral:rRNA from 1 species